AGUGAACGCUGGCGGUAGGCCUAACACAUGCAAGUCGAACGGCAGCACAGAGGAGCUUGCUCCUUGGGUGGCGAGUGGCGGACGGGUGAGGAAUACCUCGGAAUCUACUCUGUCGUGGGGGAUAACGUAGGGAAACUUACGCUAAUACCGCAUACGACCUACGGGUGAAAGCAGGGGAUCUUCGGACCAUGCGCGACUGAAUGAGCCGAUGUCGGAUUAGCUAGUUGGCGGGGGAAAGGCCCACCAAGAGGACGAUCCGUAGCUGGUCUGUGAGGAUUAUCAGCAACACUGCAACUAAGACAGGGUACCGAUUCCUACAGGAGGCAGCCGUGGGGAAUAUUGGGCUAAGGGCGCAAGCCUGAUCAAGCGCUGCAGCGUGGGUAAAGGAGGCCUUCGGGGUGUAAAGCGUUUUUGGUGGGAAAGAAAUGCAGCGAGCUAAAGCCUGGUUGUGAUGACGGUACACAAGGAAUAAGCACUGGCUAACUGCGUGCCAGCCACCGCCGUAA
rnacentral:rRNA from 1 species